GAGGAGGAGGAAUGUGUUUGGAGCACAGGGACAGCAGUGAGGGGAUUGAAAACUGAGCCACGCUGAGAAGUUCUAUAAUAUAAGACUUGUUCCAGAAUUAUCCGUGGCCUGCACCAAAGAUUUGCAUUGGAAGCCAUCUCCUUUGGGAGUCACCUCUACAAGAACAGUUCUAUGGGUACCAGGACUAUAUUUCUCCACUCACUCACAGCAGGCUUCAAGAUUGCGCCUGUCGGCCUGGAGAACAUACUUCGAGGUGGAAUAAAUCAAACACAAGUGUUCAGUUCUUUGGAGAGGAAUUCAAGAAUAGCGUGGCUUGGUGAUUCUUGCUCCGGCUCUCUGAAGAGGCUGUGGUGCAGCCGUGGGCUGGGACCAGCUGAAGGUCUAACUGCUAUGACCCACUUCCAAGGCCCUCAUGUGCCUCAUGUAACCUCCAGAAGACCCGCGUCUAAGUUCACUCAGAUGGUUGCACUUCCUCAGUCACAGAGGCUGCUUGAAUGUGGGUAUCCUCAACCCGCUUCCCUCUCCCAGGGCUGCCGCACAUCCUAGCAGCUCGGACCAUAGCGAGUGCUGAGAAAGGGGAGAGGAGGGAGGAGAAAGAAGCAAUGGAAAGAGGAAAAGGGGAAGGGUGGAGGGAACUCGAGAUCCACCGUCAUUUUAUAAUCGAAUCUCAAUGUGGCAACUCCUGUCUUCAGCCAUAUUCUACUUGAGGUAGCAUAGAAGCAAUAAAAACUAGGCUGAAAGGAGACAAGAAAAAUUAUAAUUUUAAAAAUGAAAAAUGCAGCUUCAGGACACAAGCCCAGUUUUGCUUUGUUUGUUUUGUUUGCUUUUCUCUUCUCACAGAACUCAAUAAUCCUAGGCAAUUCCCUUUCACCUGCAAAGGGUUUUGGUCAUUUCCUUCACUUGCAAAUGGUUCUUUUUCACCUGUAAUUAGGAUUUCCCCCAUGAAUGGAUGGCUGUCUUACUGUGGUUGAGCCAUCCUCUCUCAGCCACCAAACCAAGACCAAAGAUUUCCACCAUAGACUACCUUUUCACCUAUAGAUUAGGCCAGCACCCAAACUAAGUAAAGAUUGCCUUACCAUGGGAGGGCCACCCCCACCACCAGAGCAAGACCAGGACUCUAGGUUAUCGAAUUCCACAGAUUUCCACCACCAAAAACACAUAAACAUUUCCAGUUGCAAACUGUAAUGAGACUCAUUUCUCCAAGAGCCUGCACUCCACUCUUGAGUAUGCCCUAGAAUCUCUGCCUAAUAAACACUUCC